rnacentral:misc_RNA from 1 species
UUUAACGGAAUAUAAGACCUUGGGUCUUAUAAACAGAACGUUCCCUGUCUUGUUUAGUUUUGAAGGAUCAUUCCUUCCUUCGAGAUGAACACCUGCUAAAUGCACCACUUCCAGUGGCAUCGCAUGUGUUAACAUGUGCUAUACGUUGUUCUUUGAAUCCUUUAUAAGGUAAAUUAUUCACAUUCAAUUAGUAAUGCAAGAUAUCACGUAGAGAUUCUUUUUAA